GCGCUUCAACGAUUUACGCCUUCAAUAAUUAAUUCUAAAGAUAUAAAUCGUCUGGAGAUAAUUCGAUCUCCGGAUCUAUAUAAACCCUUGACAAGACAGCCUGUUAGGAUUACCGACUAUUUUUUUUUUCUUGGUUGCCUAUUUCCUUCCGUCGUCCUCUGCUUUAGAAUCUCCUUAUUUUUUCUGUGAGAGAAAUGGCUUCUAGGAACCUUGACUUUGCACCACUGGGAUUCCGAUCUGAGCUGAUGGAGAGAGAUGUGGUUCUACUCCACGAGCAGUACCAGAUUCUUUAGAAAUUUCAGUUGAAAAUCUCAGGGCCAGAUGAUCGAGUCUGUCAACCUCCAAUGGGCCGAAUUAGCCCCUAUGAAGAGUGCUUCCGAGCCGGACUGAGGCCCCCCUUCACCCCUUCUUCAUCGCUUUCCUCUGAUUCUUUGAGAUAUCAUCAUGUUUGAUGGUACCCAAUUUAUGAUGGCACAUCUGUAGUUUCACCGCGAUGUGCGUGCUGGCCA
rnacentral:lncRNA from 1 species